UCGGUGUGAAGCAUGUCGCAUGUGAAAUGUUUGGUAGAAGUGCCUCACGUCCAAGUCAAGCCGCCGUACGGGUGUAUGGCUGUGCGCCCUGUUCUCGGAAGCGUCAACGGGUUUCCGGCAUGCGGAUUUCAGCUUUUGGACUCGACUUUUGGUGAGGCUGUCGAUCGACCUUGGGCCUGGUGACAGCACACCCGACAUCGCCAAAGUGCAGCCUAUCAGUUGAGUGCCCCCCAAUGGACCAUCAACAUCGGAAACUGAAGCAGAGCCAGGGGGAAAAAGUUCCGGUAACACCAUGCAUUCAGUAUGGUGGCCCAGACGUGUAUGCAAGCAACCUCCUUCAUGUGGACCAAGAACUACUCUGCAGUGUCUCACAGACUUCCAUGCGAAGCCCUCAACAUUCUCGUCUCAGUGGAAUGGCUGCCCAUCUAUCUGCGUGUCCAUCACCAAGACGGCUAGUUGUAAAGCUCCUGUACCCGUUUAAGAAAGCUUAAUGAUUUUUUUUAUUUAGUUUUCACGGUUGGCCGUAGAAUCUUAACAUUUUUGAUGUUUCUAACGUUUUUACCUGGCACAAAGUGGCGCAAUAACUUUAAACCAGUGUAAUGUAUUUAAGUGAUGCUCACUCUAAUGCCUAUCUGGUUUUGUUUGUGUUUAAGAAAUUUGAAUGUCUGAUGAGGUAACAGCAUUUAAAUUUGUCAUCGUGGCUUGUUUCAAUGAGCUGCUAGGAAAUAAGAUGCAAAACUUAUCACACACCAGUUGUAGCAUUUUUGUAUUCAUGACUAAAGUAUACACGUUUCAAAAGAUGGAAAGUGGGGAAAAAAAGCCUCAAGAACAUAAUCAUCCUAGGAUUGUCAUGUCCUUACAACUCUGCAAUGACUAAUGCCUCAUGCAUCUUGGGAGCACAAUGGUCGCAAUGCCUACAGGUAUACUUGAUAAGAGACUAGCUUGCAAAAAUUUAGUUGAGAGUUAGCGCUCAUCCUGUCUGCUUCUAGUCUGUGUCCAUGCCACUUCGCGCUACAAUCCAAGAUCAUGUUACUGUACCAACUCGCCCAACUUUUUAUCCUUGUGUUAAAGACACACUCAGACUUGUUCUUACUUAUGUGACCGGUUAUUUUUGUGCUUUAUAAUAAGAUGUAGUGCUUUUCGAAUGAAAACGUGAUAUUUAGUAGUGAGGUUAUUUAAAAAAACUGUUCUGCUUAAAAUUCAAUUGAGCAAGCCUGUGCCAUUAUUCGGUGCUUAUGUCUUUGUAUUGGUAUGGUUUUACUCAUGUUCCUUUUUACUUUUAAAAUGUGCAAACAUUAUUAUGUAACCAUUUCUCUUGAAUGAAAUAAAUACUUCUGACAUUUCGUCACAAAUUUUACAAUGAUGUUGUUCAAUUAGGUAACCUUAGACUAGCUGAUUGUUGUUCUGGUAGCUUAACUUACAAUGCCUUUGCAAUAUUCAAUGCAAGCACAUGGUGAAAAAUAAACUAAGUUAUUGGGUAUAAG